rnacentral:rRNA from 1 species
UACGGAGGGGGCUAGCGUUGUUCGGAAUUACUGGGCGUAAAGCGCGCGUAGGCGGCUUUGUAAGUUAGAGGUGAAAGCCCGGAGCUCAACUCCGGAAUUGCCUUUAAGACUGCAUCGCUUGAAUCCAGGAGAGGUGAGUGGAAUUCCGAGUGUAGAGGUGAAAUUCGUAGAUAUUCGGAAGAACACCAGUGGCGAAGGCGGCUCACUGGAGCUGGUAUUGACGCUGAGGUGCGAAAGCGUGGGGAGCAAACAGG